rnacentral:rRNA from 1 species
AUUGAACGCUGGCGGCAGGCCUAACACAUGCAAGUCGAACGAGUGGCGGACGGGUGAGUAAUGUCUGGGAAACUGCCCGAUGUAGGGGGAUAACUACUGGAAACGGUAGCUAAUACCGCAUACCAUCGGAUGUGCCGAGAUGGGAUUAGCUAGUCGGGGGGGUAACGGCUCACCUAGGCGACGAUCCCUAGCUGGUCUGAGAGGAUGACCAGCCACACGGGAACUGAGACACGGUCCAGACUCCUACGGGAGGCAGCAGUGGGGAAUAUUGCACAAUGGGCGCAAGCCUGAUGCAGCCAUGCCGCGUGUAUGAAGAAGGCCUUCGGGUUGUAAAGUACUUUCAGCGAGGAGGCGUUACUCGCAGAAGAAGCACCGGCUAACUCCGAGCCAGCAGCCGCGGUAAUUC